AACGCUGUAUGUAGCUGGUUGGCAUCGGGUCAGAUCGGUUUAUUUCUAAGUAUUUGGUCCCCUUCAACCAGCUGUAGCAGUGGUUGGCA
rnacentral:pre_miRNA from 2 species